AGGAUACUGAACUUGGCUUUCUUUAAUAUUAAAAAAAAUGAGAACGCGGUAGAAUUUUUGCUAAAAAUACACUGUUGUGUAAAUAGAAACCAUUGGCAUAUAUUGAUAUUACAUCACAAACCCAUAAAUAUCAUAAAGAAAAUAAAAGCGACUCCUUGAUACAGAGUUGCCAGUGGAAAUUCUGAGCUCAGGGGACAUUUGAAAAAGUAAUAUUCCUGCAAGCCAAGUAUUUUUUUUUAUUUCUCUGCCUGUUGUUGCACCUCUUUCCCUCCCCAGUAAGUGAUGGACCCCUCCUGAUGGUGUCUUAUACAGAGGAGCACCACAGACAUUUGUGCACGUGCACUUUGUGACUCUGAUAGCAGUUUGCCUGAAGGAUGCUGGGAGUUCUUGGAGGGAAAAGCAAAACUAUUUGUUUGGGUUUUUUUCAUCUUUUCCUUGUAAUCCUGAAUGGCUUCUAAGAUCGCAUCUGUGCAAUCCAAUUGUUCCCUGUAAGUGGGCAGCCCUGUGGCUUUCUUGUAGAAGUCUGUGAGGAAGCAGAAGGAAAAGACAGCAUGCUCGGUCACUGGACUUAUCCCCUUCUAAUGCCCCAAGCACUUGGCAGCCUUAUGCAGUCCUGAAGUAAUAAGCCCUCUGCUGUUGAGUCGUGCACUCUGACCUGCAAAACCUUCCACUGACACACUGGCCUAUGCACAUUCAUGGAGGGAGAAUACGCAACAUUGCUCUAUUUCCUUCAAAAGCUUCAACAUAUUGAAAAGAGACAAUGGCAGAACACAGCAGAAUUACCCAUCCUCACAGGAAUCUGGCAGUGCUGUGGAAGCCAUCCAUCCACCCAUCUCUGGCUCCUCUGCCCUGGACCAUGGUGCCCUCUCUUGUGCUGCAUCAUGCCUUUGUGCAGCCGCACUGCACGCCAGGCUGCAGUAACCCACCCUAAAGUGGACCUAGCAAAAAGGAAUGAUUAUAAGCUGGACCAUUUCUGUGUGAAGUCUGAAUGAAGACUGGUGCUGGGAGUACUGGAAUGAGGAGGCUGAGCCCUUUGCAUAGCAACUGUGCAGUGCUAUUGCAACUGCAAGGAGAAGCAACUACAUCCAUAACACAGGGUACAGAGGGACAAGUGGCCGAGUUCUGUGCUGAAUGAGAAGGGUACUGCUGAACUUCUUGCAUAGUUCCCAGUGAGGCUGACUGCUGAAAUGCUUUGGGGAAAGAAGACUGCUUUGACUGCAGGGCCUGCUCAGAACCCUGGGAAGUGCUGCAUGCAGAGCACAGAGAUCAACGCCUAACCUGCAAGGCAGAUACGUGGCUGAAGCUUACAGGGAUCUGCUUCUACCAAGUAAGUUUCUUUCAGCUUUGACUCCAUUAAAUAUGAGAUUCAAUGCAUGAUGUUAUCCUAAAAGCUUAAACCUCUCUUCUCAACCCUAAAUAUUUUUUAUAUACCUGUCUUUGUUGUUACAAUAAGGAGGAAUGUCUGAUUUCAGUAUGUCUGUUACUGAUGCUUUAUUGAUCCUCCUUUGCUGCACUGUAAUUCUAAUCGAAGUUACAAUUAGCUGAUCAACUUAGAUAAGUAAAUGAUCUUAUCUGGGUUAUUUUGUUAGCACUGCAGUUAGUACAUUAAGUACUGAAGACAUUUUUGGGGAGAAAAGACCUGUUUUGAUGCUUUUGAUAUCUAUCACCACUGGUGUGUGUAUCUGUAUGUACUGCUUGUUCCAAAAUAAUAGAGAUUUGGUUGAUAUUUAAAGACAGCAGAAGUCUGAAAAGGUAUCAGUCAAAUUAGACAGCACAGAGGCCUAUCGUAGAUUUUGUCUUCUCUGAGCCUUGAAUUAUAACAACAUGAACCAUCUGCAAUGUUCUGAACAGGCUGAUCUUAAGAUCUAGUCAACUUACUUCUUUCAGAUUCAAACUACAGGAGUUCUGCAAUCAUUGUGAUCACAAUGUGUGCCAGGGUCAUGGUUAGAUAAAGUGUAAAAUGAUUUUGAAUGGAUUAGUAUCUCCAUAGCAAUUGCUGUUCUCUGUUUGUAUAUAAACGUUGCUAUGAAGUCAAUGCUGGGUAUUUAUCUAGCAGCUAAACUGACAUUUCUACAUGCUGUUAAUCAUUUUUCCUCUGUCAGACCAAAAACCCAUAAGCCCUAAACCCUUAAAUCCUUAAAUGUGAAACAAGGCAGCCCGAAGCUUCAGGGAUGAGUUUGCAAAUCUUGCUGAACCACAGUUGUAGGGCAGAACUGCAGGAACAGACCUCAAAUGGAGAUUUACAUUUCAAAGUGUUCUGCAGCCUCCUGGUUCCCCAGAGCACCAGAGGCUCCUGUGAGAUGGCAGCCAGUCACAUCCCUGCAUUCUGUAGAUGUUGCAGCCUUCUGUGGUCAUUGCUGUAGCUUUUUUAUCUCUGAACGAAUGAUCAUUCCUUAGGACAAAAUCCCCCUAUCCUGUCAGUAUUCAAUACAGAAAUUCCUUACUUAUUUCUAAGGUUUCAUUUGUAUGUUUUGGGGUCUGACUGCUUUCCCGCUUCUGUUCUAUUAGAAAGCAGAGCACAUCUCAACUCAAGACUCCAAAGCAUCAGACUGUACUAACAGUAGCCCCAAAGUGUUAUUUGAAUCUGCUUACUAGGAGAGAGCGAGGAGCAAUGCCUACCGAUGCAACAGCCUUAGCAGCUAACUUUGGAAUAGUCUCCACUGGUGCAAAGGGAGCGUUUUCCAUGCCCGUAUUUGCCAAAACUAUUUGCUCAACUUUGAAACCUUCCCACAUGCCUCGACACAGAUGGGUAAAAGGAUUGUUUUUCCUUUUUGAGUCAGUGUUUGUGGAGUGCCGUUCCUGCCAAAGAAUUCCUUCGAAACUUCUUGAAAGCCCACGUCUCCCUCAGUAUCAGAGCUUUUGACCGUGCUUCUUGCUGGAGCACACGUGCAGCAGCAAGUUGUUUUCUCCCAUGUUAAGGUGCAGUGAUUUCUAAGAACUUGCCUACCUUGCA